rnacentral:rRNA from 1 species
AUACGUAGGUGGCAAGCGUUAUCCGGAAUUACUGGGCGUAAAGCGCACGCAGGCGGCCAGUCAAGUCUGACGUGAAAGCUCCUGGCUUAACUGGGAGAGGUCGUUGGAAACUGAUUGGCUUGAGGCAAUGAGAGGGACACGGGAUUCCCGGUGUAGUGGUGGAAUGCGUAGAUAUCGGGAGGAACACCAGUGGCGAAAGCGGUGUCCUGGCAUUGACCUGACGCUCAUGUGCGAAAGCGUGGGGAGCGAACGGGAUUAGAAACCCCAGUAGUCC